CCGCCCCGCCCCGCCCCAGCCCUCUGCCCGCUCCCUGCGCCUGCGCAAGGCUUAAGGACGAGGGGCGGCUCGCUGGUGGAUGCGGGCUUCGCUGGAAACCGUCGGGCUCUUAAAGAGCCCCGGGAAAAAUGAGAGAGUUUGAAGGGGUGUUGCUUACAGGCUGAGCGGCAUGCAGGAUUCCUGUGCCCUGAAGCCCCUGGUGCCUGGGACGCCCGGCUGGCUGAGUCCAUUGAGCAUAGGACUUGAUCGCGGGGUGCUGAGUUCUAGCCCCACUGGCUGAAGACGGUACUUAAAAAUAAAAUCUAGAAAGAAAGAAAAGAAAGAAAAAAGGGGAGGGGAGGGGAGGGGAGGGGGGGAAGGUAGGUCCCGGGUUCAUAGGUUUCUGACCCCAAUGUCCGCCUCUGCCUUGGCUUUUUCAAGAGUGCUCUGCAGGGGCCUGUCUAGAUUGAAUAGAGGAGCCUUGGGCCUCCUGGAGUUUUCACAGCUGUGCAACUCAACUUGUGCAGAUACUGGAUAACCUGCCGUCGGCUCAUGUUUUAGGAGGCUGUGACUUCUAAGGAGUAACAAUAUUUUGUUUGGUGCUCGUUUGCACAUGUAACAAAAACCUACAAUUGGUGGUAAGAAAACGAAGGCUAUGGGAACUUGAGGACUCCUCAUCUUCAGCUCCCAACCCCUAAAAGUCGGAGGGCGAUAGGAAUUAACUCUAGCCCAAGACAUGGUGGACACUGAUUUCCUGGUUAUCCUUGAGAAGAUGAAAUGGUAAACUACACAGCUGUUUAAACUGUUAAAAAUGACCAAAUUAUUACAAGUGAACUUGACAGUUCCAUAGCAACUCACAUUUUGAAGUUCACGUCCUUUUUCUUAUUUGAAUUAAACCCUUUGACUUCUUA